AGACAAGACCCUGCUGAAUCGUUUAGGCCUGACCAUGAACAACAUUAUCAGAAACAACCUGUUCUAUCCUGAAGUGGCUGAACACUGCUGCCCAAUUCCUUCUUAACCACAGGUUUGCCAAAAUGCCCUUUUUCGCUUUCGGAAUUUGCAUUUCUUCAAAAUUGAUUCGGCUUGCGUAUUAUGUUAAGCUAUUUGUUUGCUAAGGAUGGUAAUUAGUUACUGUAAUUACAGCAAUGACAGUUGCUAAAUUGUUUUUAAAGCAUUACAGUGAGUCUGUGCCAGAAGAUUGCAGUAUUUUUUUGGAUUUAAGCAGAGGCUGGAAAAACUCCCACUCUAAGGCCAGCAUGGGAUUUUCAACUACAAAGCUGCUUUUCCUGAUUGAAAUUUUUUAAAAAAAUCAUUAAUUUG